CAGCCAUGCCGCGUGAGUGAUGAAGGCCCUAGGGUCGUAAAGCUCUUUCGCCUGUGAAGAUAAUGACGGUAGCAGGUAAAGAAACCCCGGCUAACUCCGUGCCAGCAGCCGCGGUAAUACGGAGGGGGUUAGCGUUGUUCGGAAUUACUGGGCGUAAAGCGCACGUAGGCGGAUCGGAAAGUUGGGGGUGAAAUCCCGGGGCUCAACCCCGGAACUGCCUCCAAAACUAUCGGUCUAGAGUUCGAGAGAGGUGAGUGGAAUUCCGAGUGUAGAGGUGAAAUUCGUAGAUAUUCGGAGGAACACCAGUGGCGAAGGCGGCUCACUGGCUCGAUACUGACGCUGAGGUGCGAAAGUGUGGGGAGCAAACAGGAUUAGAUACCCUGGUAGUCCACACCGUAAACGAUGAAUGCCAGUCGUCGGGUAGCAUGCUAUUCGGUGACACACCUAACGGAUUAAGCAU
rnacentral:rRNA from 1 species